GUACAACCAGUAGCGUUUACAUGUCAUACAUUGUUUAAACAUUACCUUCCCAAAAAUUAAAUUGUUCGAUUCAUACAUAAAUAAACUGCAACCGUCACUGAAUAUGAUUUCCUUUGAUUCACGGGUUCCCUGAGAAUACAAGUAUUUUGAAAAACGUCAACAUAUGAAAUGUUGGUGAGUUCAUAAGUAGUGUUUGAAAUCCAAUGUUUUGUAUUGUUGAAAACCACCAGAAAAUCCGAUAUUUUCUGAAAUGAAAGACUUUCGAAAAUGUUGUGAAGAUCCAUAGGUAUGCUUGUUUGUUUCUAUACUUGUAAAAAUGGUUCAUUAAAAUUAUAUGCGUUUCGAAUCCGAUAUGUUUUGAAAAAAAACCUAGGAAAACCCGAUGUUUUCCUAAUCCUUUGAAAUCCAUUAAGUUGCGUUGAAACCAUUACAAAAAAAUAGAAGUCUCAUUCCCAGGCGACGUUGGAUUAUUUUUGAGCAUGAUUAUUUACUACAAACCCGCAUUACACAAACGCCCAGUUUAUAGCAAUACUAACGAUCCCGAAGGCGUCGUCCGUACAAAUCACGUUAUCCAGCCGCCCUGAUUAUGUGUCGUCCCACAUCCGAAGAGUAAGAGGACACGAAGGCCUCGAUGACUCUAUUAAUCGGUUGGGGAUAAUAUGCGUACGAGGGGUCCCCGACCCGCCUCGCAAAAAUAUGCAGACUUUUCUAGCAAUACCAAAGGACCCUUGGGGACCAGUGGUGUACAAGCCAUUGAAAGUCCCUCUACGUUGUGCCAAGUCGGUGAAACUCAACACUUCGUAGAAAAAUAUGCGUCUUCGGGCCUUAAGAUCAGGUCAUUGGGCUAGCUAGGCCCAACAAGCAAGAUUUUACACUUUUGGGGCCCGAAGAUGGUGCGUAGACGUCUGUGCACACUCGUAUGUAAGCUAAGUUCCCAAACGUUAUUUGUAUGAACCGUAGUGUAGUAGUGUCGUAGUGUUAGUAGUUGUAGAUUUCUAUUGGUUCGAGACCGAGCCAAUUCGUUUAACAACGACUUUUGGUAUUGUAAUGUAUUGUACUUCGUCGAAAGCCGCGAUGCCAUUAUUUGAUCAAAUUGUGUAUAUUGAAUUAGCCUUGAGAAUUUUCUGUUUUCAGCCCCUCAUUGUUUGUAAAGUUUACAUUUUCAACCCUUUUAUUAAAUACUUCCCGGUUUGGUCCUUAAAUUAAUUUUCUUGACAUUUUAACACCAAAAAUUAUUGAAAUUAAUAUUUUUCAGCAUAUAUUUCAUAGAAAACAGUUUAAGUCCCUGAAAAUGCAGUUUUCUCGGUUUUAACCCUUCUUUUUCGCAAUUUUGACAAUUUUGGCCCAAAUUGUGAAACUUUUGCAACUUUGGUCCUUUUUAAAUUUGAAAAGCAUUUUAAACCUUUGAAAAGGACUUGGAUCACUUAUGGUCCACUGUUUUACAGAAAAUCACAGUUUUGGCCCUCCAAAACAGAAAAAUUCGCAUAAUGGGCCUCAUUGGGCCAAAAAUGUCAUUUUUAGCCCAUUAAGCUUGGAAUUUAUGUUUUUAAUCCCCUAAAUGAGUAUAUUUCCAGAAAUUGAUUUAUGGAAACUGUUUUGGCACACUUCAUCCAGCAGAAUUCGUGAUAUGCCAAUUUGGACCCUUAAUUUUGUAUUUUUCACAUUUUAGGCCCAAAAUUUGUGUUUUUAACCCAAAGAAAAUUGUUACUAACCCACUUAGCCAUUUUUCUUGAAACACUUUGUAUGUAGAAAUAUAUUUGAAGCUAAAAUCAUUUAACACAAGAUAUAUCUCGGUUUUGAGGGGUUUUAUGGCUAGAUCCAACAUUAUAACACACAAAUGCAUACAUAUAAGCAUGGAAAUCAUACAAGGCAUACAAAACACAUAUAGAUCUACACUUUCACUUGUAUUCCCCCCCCCAAAAAACUCAUAAAAACAGAAAAUAGGGGGUAUGAAGCUCACCUUGGGUGUGGGUUCGGUUUUGGAGAGAAGAUGGAAGAAAAAUGAAGUGAUUUUUGGUCUUAGCACCCUUUGAUGAAGAUUUCGACCUCUAGGAUGCAAGAUCACAAGAGUGAAUGAAUUUAGAAGAGAUUUUAAUAAAAUGAAGUAGCUAGAUCAUGGAUUAGUCAUCAACUUACCUUAGAUGAUGAUUUUUGGUGAUGGAUUUUCCUUGUGAAGCCCUUGAUUCACGAAAUUUUUGAAGAAGGGGGAAGGAGAUGUUCUUCAAGAUUUAGAGAGAGUAGAAUAGAUUUUUGUGAGUGUGUGUGUGUUGUGUUUGGCCGAGAGUGAGAGAGGAGAGAAGAAAGAAGUGAUCUUGAUAUGAUGCUUGCUUGGAAACAUGAGUUAUGUGCAUGGAAAUCCAACAUAUAAAAGUGAGGUGGCAACCCAAGGUCAACUCUCCCUUUUUCCUUGGGCUUGGGCCGAGAAUAGGGAGAGAAGAAGGGAUUUUUGGGCUUUUUGCCCCUAAGCCCAACAUUAGAGGUAGUUUGGGUGCUUAUUGGCCUUAUAAAAUAAAAUUGUGAUUUUUAUGCUUUAAUAAGCUAGGUUAGGUUAAAUUAUGGAUCAAAGCUUGUGAUUUAUUUCAUUCUAGGCCCAAUAUGGCCCAAAAUAUUGAAAUAAAUAAGUGUGGGUCCAAUUAGAGCCCAAUUAGGGUUCUAAGCCCAUGAUAGUCUAAUUGGAAGCUUUUUGGUCCAUUUGGAUCCAAUAGGAGAGUUCUAAUCCAAAAUGGACUUAACAAGGACUUUUAGGGUCUCCAAUUGUUUGAUGACUAUUUGUAGUACUUGUAUGAUGUAUUUGAUUGAAGUUUUUGAUUCACAUUAACUUGAAUGUAUAGAUUACAUGACACAAAAUUUCCAGUUGUGACAUCAUCCCCCCGUUAGAGGGAAUUUCGUCCCGAAAUUCUGUUUGAAAGCUAGAUUUGAGAAUGCUAGAAUAGGUGAGGGUACUUUUGUUUCAUUUGGUCUUCGCGUUCCCAAGUGAAUUCUGGCCCACGCUUCGCGUUCCACCGUACCUUCACGAUUGGGAUGCGGCUCUGUUUAGUACGCUUCACCUCCCUGUCCAUGAUUUCGACUGGUUCUUCGACGAACAGGAGAUUCUCAUUGAUUUCGAUUUCGUCAAGCGGAAUGACAAGGGUUUCAUCUGAUAGGCACUUCUUCAGAUUAGAGACAUGAAACACGGGGUGUACACCAUUUAGCUCCGCGGGUAGUUGUAGUCUGUAGGCUACCGGACCUAUUCGGGCGACGAUCUCGAAAGGUCCAAUGUACCGUGGGUUUAGCUUUCCCCGUUUUCCGAAACGUAUAACCCCUUUCCAGGGUGAGACUUUUAACAGUACUCGAUCGCCGACCUGGAAUUCUAAGGGCUUUCGCCGUUUAUCGGCGUAGCUCUUUUGUCGGUCACGCGACGCUUGCAAUCGAGCUCUGAUCUGAACGAUCUUUUCUGUGGUUUCGCGAAUGAUUUCCGGUCCCGUUAGUGCUCUGUCUGCCGUAUGCGUUCUCGCUAGUUGGGUGUCACCUACUUCAGCCCAACAUAACGGUGACCUACAUUUACGCCCGUACAGUGCUUCGAAAGGGGCCACCUUGAUGCUUGAAUGGUAACUAUUGUUAUAUGAGAACUCAAUCAACGGCAGGUGGGUAUCCCAAGACUUUCCAAAGUCUAUUACACAUGCACGAAGCAUGUCUUCAAGCGUCUGAAUGGUUCGUUCGCUUUGACCGUCCGUUUGUGGGUGAUACGCGGUGCUCAUAUCGAGAUGAGUUCCCAUUGCCUUGUGGAGUGAUUGCCAAAAGCGCGAUGUGAACCUACUGUCCCUAUCCGAGAUGAUAGAUUUUGGCACUCCAUGGAGUCUUACGAUUUCUCGUAGGUACAAACGCGUCAGUCUCUCCAUCUUGUAGGAUUCUUUGAUUGGCAGGAAAUGGGCAGAUUUCGUCAGUCGGUCGAUUAUUACCCAUAUGGUGUCCAAUCCGUCCGACGUCUUGGGCAGCUUGGUCACGAAGUCCAUAGAAAUCCCCUCCCAUUUCCACUCAGGGAUUGCCGGUUGCUGUAACAAUCCGGAAGGUUUCUGAUACUCCACUUUUACUUUGACGCACGUAAGGCACUUACUAACAUAAGUCGCGAUUUCCGCCUUCAUGUUAGGCCACCAAUAGUGUUGCUUAAUGUCCAGAUACAUCUUGUCCGAACCAGGAUGAAUGGAGUAUCGUGUCUUGUGGGCUUCCUUCAUAACGAUCUCUCUAAAUCCUCCGAUCUUUGGGACCCAAAUACGGUUCAUGAAGUAGUAUACACCAUUCUCCUUGACUUCUAGGUUCUUCUCCAUCCCGCGUAAUGCCUCGCUAGUUCUAUUUUCCGCUUUCAUAGCCUCUGUCUGGACUGAUGCAAUUUGAGUGGCCAGAUGAGACUGAAUGGUUAUCGAGUGCGUCUUUGUACGGCGAUUAGAGUACUCCUUCCGACUUAAGGCAUCGACUACCAUGUUGGCCUUGCCUGGAUGGUACUUGAUCUCGCAUUCGUAGUCGUUUAGCAAUUCCACCCAUCUUCGUUGUCUCAUGUUCAGCUCCUUCUGAUUCAAGAUGUGCUGGAGGCUCUUGUGGUCCGUGAAGAUGGUGCACUUUGUACCGUACAGGUAGUGCCUCCAAAUUUUUAGAGCGAAGACCACGGCUCCCAGUUCUAGGUCAUGGGUCGUGUAAUUUACUUCGUGCGUCUUUAGUUGGCGGGACGCAUAUGCUAUCACUCUUCCACGUUGCAUGAGAACGCAACCUAAGCCUUGAUUUGACGCGUCACAGUAAACUACAAAAUCUUCCGUUCCUUCAGGUAGAGAUAGUACAGGAGCGCUGCAAAGAGCUUGCUUCAAGGUUCGAAACGCAAUCUCUUGUCGGUCUGUCCACUUGAAUGGCACGCCCUUUUGCGUAAGCAAGGUAAGCGGCUUGGCGAUCUUAGAGAAGUUUUGGAUGAAUCUCCUAUAGUAGCCUGCUAGGCCUAAGAACUGACGAAUUUCUGUGGGCGUAGUCGGAGUUGCCCAUCCUUCCACAGCUUUGACCUUAGAGGGAUCCACAUGAAUUCCAUCUUGGCUAACUACGUGACCUAGAAAAUUCACGCUCCGUAGCCAAAACUCACACUUAGAGAGUUUGGCGUAAAGCUUUUCCGAUCGCAGCGUCUCUAGGACUUGUCGGAGAUGUUGGCCAUGCUCCUCUUUGCUUCGAGAAUAGACGAGGAUGUCAUCGAUAAACACAAUGACGAAGUUGUCCAGGAACGGUCGACAGAUUCGAUUCAUUAGGUCCAUAAAUGCAGCAGGUGCAUUUGUUAGACCGAAGGGCAUUACGACGAAUUCAUAAUGUCCGUAGCGGGUUCGGAAAGCGGUUUUAGGAAUAUCCUCUUCUCGGACUUUGAGUUGGUGGUAUCCGGACCGUAAAUCUAUUUUAGAAAAAUAGCUAGCUCCUUGGAGCUGGUCGAAUAGAUCAUCGAUUCGCGGGAGUGGGUAGCGGUUUUUAACAGUGAGUUUAUUCAACUCUCUGUAAUCGAUGCACAUUCUGAAAGAUCCGUCCUUCUUUUUGACAAAGAGCACCGGAGCUCCCCAUGGCGAGUAGCUAGGUCGGAUAAAUCCCUUGUCCAGAAGCUCACUGAGUUGGCUGGAUAAUUCCUGCAUUUCAGCAGGUGCCAACCGAUAUGGUGAUUUAGCGAGAGGAGUUGCUCCUGGAACGAGGUCGAUUCGGAACUCAACCUGUCUCUCUGGGGGUACUCCUGGAAGAUCUUCGGGAAACACGUCCGGAAAUUCACACGCUACCGGAAUGUCUUGGAUGUUAGUUUCUUCUUUGGUCUUGUCCACUAUGUGAGCCAAGAACGCCAAAUUGUUCUUUCGCAAGUGUUUUUGUGCUUUGAUGCACGAGAUGAGACGAAGAUUCGUACUGGGUUUGUCUCCGUAAAUUACUAGGGUUUCGUGAUUUGGGAGACGAAGGCGAACGGCCUUCUCGUGGCACAUAAUCUCAGCAUGGUGGGGGCUUAACCAAUCCAUGCCGAUAAUCACAUCGAAACUCCUAAUUGAUACUGGCAUUAGGUCUAUUCGAAAGACGUGCUGGUUAAGGGUUAGGGUACAUCCGAUGUAGAUUUCCCUAGUGGAUUCGGUUUUCCCAUUGGCCAUUUCCACCGUAUAGGUUUCAUUUAGCUUCUGGGGUUGUUGUUUUAAUAAAUGUUUAAACUUCUCGCUUACGAAACUUCGCUCCGCUCCGGUAUCAAAUAAGAUGCAUGCAUAAGUGUGGUUUAGGAGGAACGUACCGGUCACAACUGCGGGGUCCUGAACUGCAUCACUCUGACCCAUAGUCAGCAUUCUUCCUGCUCCUCUGUUUCCUGAGUUGUUGUUGUUGUUAGGGCAGUCUCGACGGAAAUGUCCCGUCCUUCCACACCCGAAACAGGUGUGGCUAGGCCCUGCGUUGUUGCCGCCGGCAUUGGUGUUGUUGGUAUUGCGGUGGUUGUUGUUGUUGUUCUGGUUGUUUCCCUGACUCUGGUUCUGAGAAGGAUAAGUCCUGCAGAACCUUGCAGUGUGUCCCCUUCGGUUGCAACUGGUGCAAUGGAACUCCCUACAUUCUCCUUGGUGAUGGAAACUGCACUUGUUGCAUUUGGGAAGAUUACCGGAAUAGGGUCUUGAAGCAUUUGAAGCAGCUGAGGCUGGAGCAUGUGAGGUGACUGGAACCGGCGCAGUGACAGCGUGAACUGCCACCGUUUGCUGCUUUUUAGAGGUCUCGGGACCCUGACGCCCCUUCCUCUUGUUGUUCCAUCCUUUCUUACCAUCACUCUCCUUCUUCUUCUCAGUCUCUACCGGUUUCUCGCCCUUUUUGUGGUUAUGAUCAUAUAGCCUCUUUGCCAAUCUCUUCGCACUGUCAAAAGUUUCAGGGUUCGCAGCUAUCACAUUCCCUUGAAUGGGGGAUGUCAGUCCCCAAAUGAAUCGUUCAAUCUUCUUCCCCUCUGAUGUGAUCAUACCCGGGCACAACAGAGAUAGUUCGCUGAAUCUCGAUAUGUAAGCAUCGAUGUUCCCAUUCUGCACCGUGAGAUUCCAUAGUUCCUGCUCCAUCUUCUGUAUUUCGCCUCGGGGGCAGUACUCAGCCGUCAACAUCUCUUUCAUUUCUGCCCAGGGAAUAGAGUUGGCGACAGGGAGUGUCAUAGCUUCUACGUGACCAUUCCACCAAGUGAGUGCUUGGUCCACAAAAGUGCAGGCCGCGAACUUCACCUUCAUCUGCUCGGGGCACUCGCAUAUCUCGAAUACCGACUCUACCUUCUCGAUCCAUCGCUUCAGAGUGAUCAUCCCUCCAGUGCCGUUGAAAGUCCGUGGUUUAGCGUUUGCGAAGUCCUUGUAGGUGCACGUUUUAGUGGGUCCUUGGUUCGUCCCGUUGUUCGAACUUCCGGAUCCUUGCCCGUUACCUCCUCCGUUGUUCCCUCGGUGAAGUUGUGCCAUAGCUGCUGUGACCGCAGCAGACACGGCUGCCUGGAAAGCAGUGGAGUCAACUUCGGGCGGGGUUGGUUCGGGAUUUCCGCGAGUAGCUGGGCGAGGCAUCUUUCUGUCAUGAAACGGAAAGAUGUUGAGUGUACGUGGUUUCUGUGAGGUUGUGAUCCUACUAACUAGGUGUAUGGUACGAACCUAAACAUUACUAUCAUCAAGCAUACAAUCAUAACGUCUCAACACAUAACAACUGAGAAUAUCAUAGCAAAACACACAAAAGUUUAUUAAUAUUAUCCGCAUUUAGUACAAGAAAAUUUGCUCGUAAGAGCAUACAUAAGUGACACUAAUCCGACAGCAUAACGGCUCCAUGAGUAGUGUAGUCACUUAAACAUAGAGCCGGAGUACAUAACAUAGUUCCUAAUGACCUACUAUGAUAAGUCUAUCCCUAACCGCGAUGAGCUGCGUCAGGAGGUGGUGCCGAGGUCAUAUGCCGAAAUGUUGUGCCAGUAGCUGCGCCAUCUCUGCCAUGUCUCCUAUAACCUCAUCCCUCUCAUGCUCUGCUUGCACUGCCCGAGCCUCCAUAGCAUACAGCUGUUGUCGCAGUGCGGCGAUCUCAGCUUCGAGGGAACGGUUCUCUCUUGGGGGGUUCGCUGGUGGAGCAGGGUGAUCUAGUCGUGCCUCGUCCUCGCAUGGCGGGACGGGGUCCUGGUCCCCGACCUGGCCGUCUUCGUCGUCAUCGUCGAGCUCUCCAAAUUCGUAGUCAGUGUCUACGUAUUCGUCGGGUCCGACAUCGUGUGCUUCACCUGGAUUCUCUCCUGGCUCAUCCACAAGCAUCCCGUGAGCUACUAAGGCCUGAUGAAACUGGAUACCCUGCUGCUCCUCCUCAGGCUCCUCCUCCUCCUCUAGCCACCCGUUGUUUCCCUGAUUAGGGAAGUAGGGGUCUCCAGGGUGAUGAAAACCAGCCAUGCUGUCUGCGCGAGUAUGUAAAUAUGCUAACAUUAUUCCUAGGAUGCUAUGACUAUUGUACAGACUAAGCAAACGUUCUCUUUUUGGUGAUAAAGGGUAUAGUUUUAGGUUCCCUAGCUAUCCCGAUCUCAUCAAGACGUGUGUUAGUUUUACCUUGGAGAGAAUGUAGUUGAUCAGGCUACAUUCACUCCUUGGUAUCACUAAGAACAGUCCCGAAUUAACCGAGAUACCAGUGUUAUUGUGUUUGAUUCAGCGUUAGGUCCUUAUCCCUAAUGCAAGCAAGUGUGUUUUAUUUACUUGUUUUGUUCAGAGUUAUGUUAGUCCCUCUUUUUGGUUUAUAGUUGCAUAUCAAUGUAUGGCUCGACAUGCUAGUUCACUAUAAACAAAGCUCUGAUACCAACCUGUCACACCCCCGAACCAGACGGCGGAAACGUCCGGGGGCUGUCGUGACUCAAUUGAAUACCAUAACAUUGAAUAUAUAUGAAACAUAACAACAUUCGUCACCGUGCAUUAAUAUAGUACAACCAGCAGUGUUUACAUGUCAUACAUUGUUUAAACAUUACAUUCCCAAAAAUUAAAUUGUUCGAUUCAUACAUAAAUAAACUGCAACCGUCACUGAAUAUGAUUUCCUUUGAUUCACUGGUUCCCUGAGAAUACAAGUAUUUUGAAAAACGUCAACAUAUGAAAUGUUGGUGAGUUCAUAAGUAGUGUUUGAAAUCCAAUGUUUGUAUUGUUUGAAAACCACCAGAAAAUCCGAUAUUUUCUGAAAUGAAAAACUUUCGAAAAUGUUUGUGAAGAUCCAUAGGUAUGCCUGUUUGUUUCUAUACUUGUGAAAAUUGUUUAUUAAAAAUUAUAUGCGUUUCGAAUCCGAUAUGUUUGAAAAACCUAGGAAAACCCGAUGUUUUCCUAAUCCUUUGAAAUCCGUUAAGUUGCGUUGAAACCAUUACAAAGAUAGGAGUGUCAUUCCCAGGCGACGUUGGAUUAUUUUUGAGCAUGAUUAUUUACUACAAACCCGCAUUACACAAACGCCCAGUUCAUAGCAAUACUAACGAUCCCGAAGGCGUCGUUCGUACAAAUCACGUUAUCCAGCCGCCCUGACUAUGUGUCGUCCCACAUCCGAAGAGUAAGAGGACACGAAGGCCUCGAUGACUCUAUUAAUCGGUUGGGGAUAAUAUGCGUGCGAGGGGUCCCCGACCCGCCUCGCAAAAUAUGCAGACUUUUCUAGCAAUACCAAGGACCCUUGGGGACCAGUGGUAUACAAGCCAUUGAAAGUCCCUCUACGUUGUGCCAAGUCGGUGAAACUCAACACUUCGUAGAAAAUAUGCGUCUUCGGGCCUUAAGAUCAGGUCAUUGGGCUAGCUAGGCCCAACAAGCAAGAUUUUACACUUUUGGGGCCCGAAGAUGGUGCGUAGACGUCUGUGCACACUCGUAUGUAAGCUAAGUUCCCAAACGUUAUUUGUAUGAACCGUAGUGUCGUAGUGUCGUAGUGUUAGUAGUUGUAGAUUUCUAUUGGUUCGAGACCGAGCCAAUUCGUUUAACAACGACUUUUGGUAUUGUAAUGUAUUGUAUUUCGUCGAUAGCCGCGGUGCCAUUAUUUGAUCAAAUUGUGUAUAUUGAAUUAGCCUUGAAAUUUUUCUGUUUUCAGCCCCUCAUUGUUUGUAAAAUUUACAUUUUCAACCCUUUUAUUAAAUACUUCCCGGUUUGGUCCUUAAAUUAAUUUUCUUGACAUUUUAACACCAAAAAUUAUUGAAAUUAAUAUUUUUCAGCAUAUUUUUCAUAGAAAACAGUUUAAGUCCCUGAAAAUGCAGUUUUCUCGGUUUUAACCCUUUUUUUUCGCAACUUUGACAAUUUUGGCCCAAAUUGGAAAAUUUUUGCAACUUUGGUCCUUUUUAAAUUUAAAAAGCAUUUUAAACCUUUGAAAAGGACUUGGAUCACUUAUGGUCCACUGUUUUACAGAAAAUCACAGUUUUGGCCCUCCAAAACAGAAAAAUUCGCAUAAUGGGCCUCAUUGGGCCAAAAAUGUCAUUUUUAGCCCAUUAAGCUUGGAAUUUAUGUUUUUAAUCCCCUAAAUGAGUAUAUUUCCAGAAAUUGGUUUAUGGAAACUGUUUUGGCACACUUCAUCCAGCAGAAUUCGUGAUAUGCCAAUUUGGACCCUUAAUUUUGUAUUUUUCACAUUUUAGGCCCAAAAUUUGUGUUUUUAACCCAAAGAAAAUUGUUACUAAACCACUUAGCCAUUUUUCUUGAAACACUUUGUAUUUAGAAAUAUAUUUGAAGCUAAAAUCAUUUAACACAAGAUAUAUCUCGGUUUUGAGGGGUUUUAUGGCUAGAUCCAACAUUAUAACACACAAAUGCAUACAUAUAAGCAUGGAAAUCAUACAAGGCAUACAAAACACAUAUAGAUCUACACUUUUACUUGUAUUCCCCCCCCCCAUAAAACUCAUAAAAACAGAAAAUAGGGGGUAUGAAGCUCACCUUGGGUGUGGUUUCGGUUUUGGAGAGAAGAUGGAAGAAAAAUGAAGUGAUUUUUGGUCUUAGCACCCUUUGAUGAAGAUUUCGACCUCUAGGAUGCAAGAUCACAAGAGUGAAUGAAUUUAGAAGAGAUUUUAAUAAAAUGAAGUAGCUAGAUCAUGGAUUAGUCAUCAACUUACCUUAGAUGAUGAUUUUUGGUGAUGGAUUUUCCUUGUGAAGCCCUUGAUUCACGAAAUUUUUGAAGAAGGGGGAAGGAGAUGUUCUUCAAGAUUUAGAGAGAGUAGAAUAGAUUUUUGUGAGUGUGUGUGUGUUGUGUUUGGCCGAGAGUGAGAGAGGAGAGAAGAAAGAAGUGAUCUUGAUAUGAUGCUUGCUUGGAAACAUGAGUUAUGUGCAUGGAAAUCCAACAUAUAAAAGUGAGGUGGCAACCCAAGGUCAACUCUCCCUUUUUCCUUGGGCUUGGGCCGAGAAUAGGGAGAGAAGAAGGGAUUUUUGGGCUUUUUGCCCCUAAGCCCAACAUUAGAGGUAGUUUGGGUGCUUAUUGGCCUUAUAAAAUAAAAUUGUGAUUUUUAUGCUUUAAUAAGCUAGGUUAGGUUAAAUUAUGGAUCAAAGCUUGUGAUUUAUUUCAUUCUAGGCCCAAUAUGGCCCAAAAUAUUGAAAUAAAUAAGUGUGGGUCCAAUUAGAGCCCAAUUAGGGUUCUAAGCCCAUGAUAGUCUAAUUGGAAGCUUUUUGGUCCAUUUGGAUCCAAUAGGAGGGUUCUAAUCCAAAAUGGACUUAACAAGGACUUUUAGGGUCUCCAAUUGUUUGAUGACUAUUUGUAGUACUUGUAUGAUGUAUUUGAUUGAAGUUUUUGAUUCACAUUAACUUGAAUGUAUAGAUUACAUGACACAAAAUUUCCAGUUGUGACAGAAAGGAAGUUCUGGGGUGACAAAUGUCAUUAACGAUUCCAACG
rnacentral:lncRNA from 1 species